rnacentral:rRNA from 1 species
AUCAACUUUCGAUUGGUAGGAUAGAGGCCUACCAUGGUGGUAACGGGUAACGGGGUGUUAGGGCACGACACCGGAGAGGGAGCCUGAGAAACGGCUACCACAUCCAAGGAUGGCAGCAGGCGCGCGAAUUACCCAAUCCCGACACGGGGAGGUAGUGACAAUAAAUAACAAUACGGGGUUCUUUCGGAUUUCGUAAUUGGAAUGAGUACAAUUUAAAUCUCUUAACGAGGAACAAUUGGAGGGCAAGUCUGGUGCCAGCAGCCGCGGUAAUUCCAGCUCCAAUAGCGUAUAUUAAAGUUGCUGCAGUUAAAAAGCUCGUAGUUGAAUUUCGGGACCAAUAUGUCGGUCGUGCCUCGGUACGUACUGGCAUCGUUGGUUUCUCCCUUCUGACGAACCAUGAUGUCAUUCAUUUGGUGUCGUGGGGAAUCAGGACUGUUACUUUGAAAAAAUUAGAGUGUUUAAAGCAGGCUCACGCUUGAAUACAUUAGCAUGGAAUAAUGAAAUAGGACGUUUGAUUCUAUUUUGUUGGUUUCUAGGAUCGACGUAAUGAUUAAUAGGGAUAGUUGGGGGCAUUAGUAUUCAAUUGUCAGAGGUGAAAUUCUUGGAUUUAUUGAAGACUAACUACUGCGAAAGCAUUUGCCAAGGAUGUUUUCAUUAAUCAAGAACGAAAGUUAGGGGAUCGAAGACGAUCAGAUACCGUCGUAGUCUUAACCAUAAACUAUGCCGACUAGGGAUCGGAUGAUGUUAAUUUUUUAAUGACUCAUUCGGCGCCCUACGGGAAACCAAAGUGUUUGGGUUCAAUCCCGCGGCCAUGGCGCCGGAGCAUGCG